UGAAAGGCCAAUCAAACCGGGAGAUAGCUGGUUCUCCCCGAAAGCUAUUUAGGUAGCGCCUCGUGAACUCAUCUUCGGGGGUAGAGCACUGUUUCGGCUAGGGGGUCAUCCCGACUUACCAACCCGAUGCAAACUACGAAUACCGAAGAAUGUUAUCACGGGAGACACACGGCGGGUGCUAACGUCCGUCGUGAAGAGGGAAACAACCCAGACCGCCAGCUAAGGUCCCAAAGUCAUGGUUAAGUGGGAAACGAUGUGGGAAGGCACAGACAGCCAGGAUGUUGGCUUAGAAGCAGCCAUCAUUUAAAGAAAGCGUAAUAGCUCACUGGUCGAGUCGGCCUGCGCGGAAGAUGUAACGGGGCUAAACCAUGCACCGAAGCUGCGGCAGCGACACUAUGUGUUGUUGGGUAGGGGAGCGUUCUGUAAGCCUGCGAAGGUGUGCUGUGAGGCAUGCUGGAGGUAUCAGAAGUGCGAAUGCUGACAUAAGUAACGAUAAAGCGGGUGAAAAGCCCGCUCGCCGGAAGACCAAGGGUUCCUGUCCAACGUUAAUCGGGGCAGGGUGAGUCGACCCCUAAGGCGAGGCCGAAAGGCGUAGUCGAUGGGAAACAGGUUAAUAUUCCUGUACUUGGUGUUACUGCGAAGGGGGGACGGAGAAGGCUAUGUUAGCCGGGCGACGGUUGUCCCGGUUUAAGCAUGUAGGCUGAUUGUCCAGGCAAAUCCGGAUAAUCAAGGCUGAGGUGUGAUGACGAGGCACUACGGUGCUGAAGUAACAAAUGCCCUGCUUCCAGGAAAAGCCUCUAAGCAUCAGGUAACAUUAAAUCGUACCCCAAACCGACACAGGUGGUCAGGUAGAGAAUACCAAGGCGCUUGAGAGAACUCGGGUGAAGGAACUAGGCAAAAUGGUGCCGUAACUUCGGGAGAAGGCACGCUGGUGUGUAGGUGAAGUCCCUGCGGAUGGAGCUGAGACCAGUCGAAGAUACCAGCUGGCUGCAACUGUUUAUUAAAAACACAGCACUGUGCAAACACGAAAGUGGACGUAUACGGUGUGACGCCUGCCCGGUGCCGGAAGGUUAAUUGAUGGGGUUAUCCGUAAGGAGAAGCUCUUGAUCGAAGCCCCGGUAAACGGCGGCCGUAACUAUAACGGUCCUAAGGUAGCGAAAUUCCUUGUCGGGUAAGUUCCGACCUGCACGAAUGGCGUAAUGAUGGCCAGGCUGUCUCCACCCGAGACUCAGUGAAAUUGAACUCGCUGUGAAGAUGCAGUGUACCCGCGGCAAGACGGAAAGACCCCGUGAACCUUUACUAUAGCUUGACACUGAACAUUGAGCCUUGAUGUGUAGGAUAGGUGGGAGGCUUUGAAGCGUGGACGCCAGUCUGCGUGGAGCCAACCUUGAAAUACCACCCUUUAAUGUUUGAUGUUCUAACGUUGGCCCCUGACCGGGGUUGCGGACAGUGUCUGGUGGGUAGUUUGACUGGGGCGGUCUCCUCCCAAAGCGUAACGGAGGAGCACGAAGGUUAGCUAAUCCUGGUCGGACAUCAGGAGGUUAGUGCAAUGGCAUAAGCUAGCUUGACUGCGAGCGUGACGGCGCGAGCAGGUGCGAAAGCAGGUCAUAGUGAUCCGGUGGUUCUGAAUGGAAGGGCCAUCGCUCAACGGAUAAAAGGUACUCCGGGGAUAACAGGCUGAUACCGCCCAAGAGUUCAUAUCGACGGCGGUGUUUGGCACCUCGAUGUCGGCUCAUCACAUCCUGGGGCUGAAGUAGGUCCCAAGGGUAUGGCUGUUCGCCAUUUAAAGUGGUACGCGAGCUGGGUUUAGAACGUCGUGAGACAGUUCGGUCCCUAUCUGCCGUGGGCGCUGGAGAAUUGAGGGGGGCUGCUCCUAGUACGAGAGGACCGGAGUGGACGCAUCACUGGUGUUCGGGUUGUCAUGCCAAUGGCACUGCCCGGUAGCUAAAUGCGGAAGAGAUAAGUGCUGAAAGCAUCUAAGCACGAAACUUGCCCCGAGAUGAGUUCUCCCUGAGACUUUAAGUCUCCUGAAGGAACGUUAAAGACGAUGACGUUGAUAGGCCGGGUGUGUAAGCGCAGCGAUGCGUUGAGCUAACCGGUACUAAUGAACCGUGAGGCUUAACCUU
rnacentral:rRNA from 1 species